rnacentral:misc_RNA from 1 species
UCUCCGUAGGUGAACCUGCGGAGGGAUCAUUACAGAGUUCUCGCCCUCGCGGGUAGAUCUCCCACCCACUGUUAUCGUUACUGUGUUGCUUUGGCGGGCCGCCGGGCCCCGCUCGGCCGCCGGCUCCGGCUGGCGCGCGCCCGCCAGAGGCCCAGCAAACUCUGAAUGUUAGUGUCGUCUGAGUACUAUAUAAUAGUUAAAACUUUCAACAACGGAUCUCUUGGUUCUGGCAUCGAUGGAGAACGCAGC